GUCUGUGGCCAUACCAUCCAGACACUGGAUCUUGUCUGAUCUCCGAAGCUAAGCAAGGUUAGGCCUAGUUAGUACUUGGAUUCAUUGAGUUACUGACU
rnacentral:rRNA from 1 species